rnacentral:snoRNA from 1 species
GCGUCUUGUGCCUCGCUCGGUCUGCUCCUUUCGCUGGACUUAUCUUGAGCUGGAUAUCCCAAAGUCAUAAAGUCUAUGGUUUACCAUUGACAAGACCCUACGGAUAAUAGACAAUAUGAAUCUUAAUCGUAUCAACGAUUUUUGAGUACGCUCUCAAUCCUUAACUCGCUUCCGUGAUUGAACAGCGUAAUUUAUCUGUUGACAUAU